GUAGGGAAUAUUGGACAAUGGGUGAGAGCCUGAUCCAGCCAUGCCGCGUGCAGGAAGAAGGCCUUCUGGGUUGUAAACUGCUUUUGCCAGGGGAUAAAAUUUCCAUGCGUGGAAAAUUGAAGGUACCUGGUGAAUAAGCCACGGCUAACUACGUGCCAGCAGCCGCGGUAAUACGUAGGUGGCAAGCGUUGUCCGGAUUUAUUGGGUUUAAAGGGUGCGUAGGCGGUUCCAUAAGUCAGUGGUGAAAUACCCCGGCUCAACCGGGGAGGUGCCAUUGAUACUGCGGAACUUGAGUACAGACGAGGUAGGCGGAAUUGACGGUGUAGCGGUGAAAUGCUUAGAUAUCGUCAAGAACACCGAUAGCGAAGGCAGCUUACUAGACUGUAACUGACGCUGAGGCACGAAAGUGUGGGGAUCAAACAGGAUUAGAUACCCGAGUAGUCC
rnacentral:rRNA from 1 species